rnacentral:rRNA from 1 species
ACGGGUGAGGAAUACAUCGGAAUCUACUUUUUCGUGGGGGAUAACGUAGGGAAACUUACGCUAAUACCGCAUACGACCUACGGGUGAAAGCAGGGGACCUUCGGGCCUUGCGCGAUUGAAUGAGCCGAUGUCGGAUUAGCUAGUUGGCGGGGUAAAGGCCCACCAAGGCGACGAUCCGUAGCUGGUCUGAAAGGAUGAUCAGCCACACUGGAACUGAGACACGGUCCAGACUCCUACGGGAGGCAGCAGUGGGGAAUAUUGGACAAUGGGCGCAAGCCUGAUCCAGCCAUACCGCGUGGGUGAAGAAGGCCUUCGGGUUGUAAAGCCCUUUUGUUGGGAAAGAAAUCCAGCCGGCUAAUACCUGGUUGGGAUGACGGUACCCAAAGAAUAAGCACCGGCUAACUUCGUGCCAGCAGCCGCGGUAAUACGAAGGGUGCAAGCGUUACUCGGAAUUACUGGGCGUAAAGCGUGCGUAGGUGGUUGUUUAAGUCUGUUGUGAAAGCCCUGGGCUCAACCUGGGAACUGCAGUGGAAACUGGACAACUAGAGUGUGGUAGAGGGUAGCGGAAUUCCCGGUGUAGC